GAUGAAGAACGCAGUGAAAUGCGAUAAGUAAUGCGAAUUGCAGAAUUCCGUGAGUCAUCGAAUCUUUGAACGCACAUUGCGCCCUCUGGUAUUCCGGAGGGCAUGCCUAUCUGAGCGUCAUUGUCAACCCUCAAGCUCAGCUUGCUGUUGGGUCCCCGUCGUUGCUUUAACGGCGGACCCGAAAGGUAAUGGCAGAGUCCGUGAGACCCUAGACGCAGCGAGCUUCUAGCACGCGUCUGGACGUUUUUCGGGCUCGGUCUUAACUAGAUGAUAACUUCCGAUUGACCUCAGAUCAGGUAGGGAUACCCGCUGAACUUAAGCAUAUCAAUAAGCGGAGGA
rnacentral:misc_RNA from 1 species